GUAAUUCCAGCCCCCGAUUCCCGAAUAGAAACAGGAUUUUGUGAUUUUAAACCGUUCCUGUUAUCGGUAUUUUCGCCAUUGACUGAUUUCAACCAGACCCGGAGGAACAUAAGGUAUGUUUAAUCCCAGUCAGUCAACUUAUGGAGGGUAUAGUGAUUAUUGGGGAGGAUACGGCCGACCUCCAGUUCCUCCACCUCCAAUGCCACCAAUUCCUCCAAAUAACCAGUCCCAUUAUCCUAGUAUUCCACCUCCUGUCUCCUAUCGUCAUAUAAGGUCUCUUCCUCAUACAUUUCGCCCUCCUCCUCCCCCUCCUCCUCCUCCUGAACGGGCCAAUCCCCCUUGUGAAGAUUCACCAUCAGAAAGAGUACCCUUGGAAGAACCAUAAUUCCUUCAGAAGAUGACAGUGAUUCAGACCAAGGAUCUAAUGAGCAACAUGAGCCAGUGAUAGGGUCUCCACUGGUUCCAAGAGGGAAAGAAGCUAAGGCAACAUCUUAUGACUCCUCAAGGAAAUCAAGACGUAGAGAAAAAUCUACCCCGAGUCAGCCCACAAAGGUUUCAGGAUCUGUUUAUAAACGACCAUUACCAGUUGAGUUAGAUCCUAAUCUUCCUUCAGAGCUGGUUGAAAAAUUUCAAAACAACCAUUGUAAGCUUUGUGAUGUCAAGCUCAAUUCAAGAAUACAGUCAAAAAAUCACUAUGAAGGAAAGCCUCAUAAGAAAAAAAGUCAAGCACUAUCUUAUUGAAUCUGCACGUAAAGAUGGAGAAUCUGCAGCCAAGCUGCCCAAAAUUGACAUCUCUCCUUCCAAAAGGGUAAGUAAACUAAUUUUGACUAUUUUUUUGCAUGCAGUGUCUCUUACUACUCUAUAGGAUUAAUGUCAUCCAUCUGGAUAAUGUUUUUAUUUGAUUGUGACAUAAGUAAUAAAAUUAUAUAUUGCAGGGGUCAAAGGAAGUUAAGCAAGCUAAAGAUGUUCAUUUAAGAAAAAUACAAGUAUUGAAGAUCGUAACUUUGUACUAGUAGAAAAAGACAUUAUAUUGAAUUAUUAGUGAAAUUUUGAGACAAAGAAGUAGGAGGAACUCGUUUAUUGUGAAACUGAUAGUUACUGAAACUGCAGAGAAAAG